GCCGAAAUAGGUCAGAUGGGAGAGCGUCAGACUGAAGAUCUGAAGGUCCCUGGUUGAAUCCCGGGUUGCGGCA
rnacentral:tRNA from 1 species